GUUUGUGAAUUGUCCGAUUGAAUCCACAUACUACAACUGAAAAAUAUAAUAACCUCGGUCGGUCCAGAGGAUUUUGCCCAGUUACACAACUUGCAAGCACAUCACAUCAUUAUAAAUACAAUCAAACAUUCACACCAAACCCAAAAUGUAGAGAGCUUGCCUUAAGCUAUGCACGUGAAGUCUCCAGAAUAGUAUACUGAGAAAAAUAAGUAUAAACAGAGAAAGAGGUGUUUGAAAGAGGUGUUUCAAUAAUCCUCUAUAUAUGUAUCUAGCUAGGUGAAGCUCGAUGGAGUUUGAUGUUACUGAUGCUACUUUUGAGGAUGAUUUCAUACCGACUGUAAUUUCUUUGAUUAAUCAAGAAAAUUGAUGAACACUGGCCACCAUUAUUAGACGAGAAAAUGCUGGAUAUUUUCAUAACUGCCCAGGAGAAGGGUAGAAGCAGCAAAGACUCAAAAUAUUGGGAUGAAGCUGUAUCUGAGGUUAACCGCCUCAUCGAACAAAACUUUCCUACGGAGAGACCUAGAGAUGAAGCAUCUUUGCGGAAGAGACUGAAACAAUUACGGAGGAACCCCCCUGAGAAUCUAACUAAGAAAAUCGAAGAUCUGUUUAAGUUCCACAAAAUGAUAAUUUCCACCGUACGUCCAGGACCAUACACUCAUAGUUUAGGUAGUGGCCAGUCUUCGGGCCAGUCUUCGGGUGGAUCUUCAGGAGGAGGACCUAUUCGUCGACAUCGCUCGACCACAAAUCCAUCUUUCUCUCUGCCCAAGGUCACAGAAUUCGAUCCUCAGCUUGAUGAGGAGGACCUCGAUAAAGAAUUGUGGACACUUUUGAAAAACAAUGAGGUUCCUUCUUCCAGGCAAGUAUUCAUAAUGUGCCCAAGUAUUCAUAAUGCUUUAAAGGUUUACUGUUUUAUGGUAUAUCUUAGAAUUGAGUUUUGGCUUGUAAGGUGAGGAUUGCCUCUUACUUAUAAACAUUUGUUCAGGCCUUCUCGCAAGCGAUGUGGGACUUCUUUAACAGUAUAUACCAAUUAAUAUGUUUUGGCUUUUAUAUAGUAAUGAAUAAAUGAUGAAGAAGAAGUGAUACCAGAACUUUGUUUGUCCUAAAACACAAGUCCAAAUUAACUUGGUUUUAAUAGAAAUUGCUGCUUAAAUCUGAUGAUACCCUUAUUGUCGGAGUAGUGAGAGAUUUCAGAAUAUUUGCUAUGGUUAGGGAUGAUUGAUUGUAUAACAGUAGUGGAGAGAUUUGAGAAUAUCUGCUAUGGUUUCAUUUUUCUUUAAUUUUUUUCAAUUUUUCCUCUGCAGAUUGAAAAAUCGAAAAAGAAAGCUUUCACCUUAAGGUGAAAGCUUUCAUCAAGAUCAUCAGGUAGUGAAUAUUUUAGAUGUUCCGAAAACAUGAAAGAAAUUGAGGAAAAAGGUAACAACUUGCAGCUUACAUCAGUGUACUAGGAUGCUUGUCAUACAUUUUUUAUUUUAUUUCUAGACUAGAUAUGGCUUAUCUUACUUGCUAAGAAUAUUUUCAGAUUUAAUGAGAAUUGUAUCUUCGAAAAUCCGUUCUUUUGUAACGAAUGGCAGUUUGACUUAUGAUCAAGAGGUGGUUGCUGCCAGACAUUUUGAUGUUAAACGUUUUGAGAUGGAAACUCAUAUUUGGUUAAGCUUUACGAAUACCCAAAAAGUUGAUUAUAUUGAAAGUCCACGUAUGGGGGUUUAGCAUGGGGGGCAGAGUUCUAGACAUAUAUAGGAGUUCAUUGAGUCCACGUAUGGCAGAGGUUUUGAUUUGCACUCAAAGUUGGUUGAAACCCUCUUUCUUUGACAACAAAGACCUUAAGUUGGUUGAAACCCUCUUUCAAAACAUGUCAAUUGGAGCUGGAACAAGUGGGGCAUUUGAGUCUGUACUGCUGGUGGAGCACCUCUAGUAGCUAGACCUUCUAUUUGAUUCCCUUCUAUGGGAUGAAAUCUUUUGAUAUUUUGAAGUCGCAUAUGACUCAAACAGAACAUGCCACUUUUGAACCUCCUAUUUUGAAAUAUAGACUGCUUGUAAGCUUGGCUGCAUGGUGAUUUUCAAUGUUGAUAAAUGCUUGGCUGCUUUGUAAAAUAUGAUCAUGAUUAAUUAAUGUUGUUUACCGAUGUUAUUGUUGAGGAUGAUUUCAUAAUGAUUUUAAUUUCUUUGAUUAAUCAAAAUAAGUUUCCAAGUUUGUAUCUUGAAUAAUAUCAAACAUUUGUUUUGUUUUGAUCUUAAUAUAUUGACAACUUGAAGAACAUAUUUUAUACA